UGCUCAGUUCGCGUCGCCGUGGGCUCCUCCUCAGUUUGCGUCGCCGUGGGCUCCUCCUCCCGGGGCCUCGCCUGGGCCUGUCGGAUGGGACCCGACUGCCUUGGCACGCUCCUUCGGCACCAUGGCCCUGACUCCUCCAGUCGGUCAGGACUGGAUCGCAGACUCGGGUGCCACUUUCCAUACUACACCCGACCCUGGAUGUGGCUACCCGGCGACCUCUUCUCCGCUGUGACAGCACCGGGCCCCUUUACUCCCUCCGAUUUCCUGCGUCCACUUCUUCCGCUUCGCCCUCCGCUUCUUCAGCCGCUUUUGCUACCACAGCUUCUUCCACUACAUGGCACCGGCGUCUUGGUCAUCCUGGCCGUGCUGUCCUGACACAGCUUAGUCAUAAUUCCGAUAUACCACGUACUCGGGCUCCUGAUGAGCACCUGUGUCAGGCGUGCCAACUGGGCCGUCAUGUUCGACUUCCUUUUCCUACCUCUUCUUCACAUGCGACCCAUGUAUUCGACCUUGUACAUUGCGAUCUAUGGACAUCUCCUGUUCUAAGCA